UACGUAGGGCGCAAGCGUUGUCCGGAAUUAUUGGGCGUAAAGAGCUCGUAGGCGGUUUGUCGCGUCUGCUGUGAAAACCUGAGGCUCAACCUCGGGCUUGCAGUGGGUACGGGCAGACUAGAGUGCGGUAGGGGUGACUGGAAUUCCUGGUGUAGCGGUGGAAUGCGCAGAUAUCAGGAGGUACACCGAUGGCGAAGGCAGGUCACUGGGCCGCAACUGACGCUGAGGAGCGAAAGCAUGGGGAGCGAACAGG
rnacentral:rRNA from 1 species